AGAUACGAAGGGCGUUAUUAAAGCAUUUGAAAAUUUAGGUUUAAAGAAGUACAAUGCAAAGACAAAGAAUAUGAAAAAAGAUCCGACGAUAGGCUAUGGAUUUAGUUUGAAACGACCUGAUGGUCGUAAAACAUUUAAGACCGUUUUGCCUGGUGUUAAUUUUGAUAGAGUAAAAGCUGGUAAAGAAUCUAUCAAAAAAUCAGAUGCAAAGAAAUUGUUCAAUCACGACGUCGACAAAAUUUAUCAACCACGGGCUAGAAACAGACUUGGCGCUAAGGUUUUCGAUAAAUUACCACCCAAUGUAAAGACAGCUGUAGUUAAUGCCCAAUAUAGAGGUGACCUUGGACCAAAGACUGUUGGCUACAUGAAAAAAGGCCAAUGGAAUAAAGUUAGCACCGAAUACCUUGAUCAUAAAGGUUACAAAAAUGCCCCAAAGAAAAACAUGAAUGGAAUAGUGGAAAGAAUGAAUUGGAAUGCUAAACAAUUCGACUCAAUGGCUAAAAAGGGUUAAUGAAUUAAUGUUAAUUGACGAAACAUUUCCGUCAAUCAACAUAUGUGACAAUAAAAAGUGCAGAAAAAAAUUAAUUGGGUUUGUUCUAUA